rnacentral:lncRNA from 10 species
GAUUGAAUUCACAGGUCCAUGUUGUAUUUCGUUGUCAUGUCUCCUUGGUUGGCAAUAUAUGAACGUAUCUCAGUCGUGGAAGACAUUGACACUUUUGAAGAGUACAGCUCCAUGUGAUUUGUCCUUGCUGAUGAAGCAGUAACAUAUACAGCAUUGCUCUAGUGUCUGCAUUCUGUGGAACGGAGGACAUGGAUUCUCACUAUGACACCCAGGCUGGAGUGCAGUGGCACAAUCAUAGCUGACUACAGCCUCGAAUUUCUGGGCUCAAGCAAGGCUUUCAUCUCAACCUCCCCAGGAGCUGGGAUUACAGAUGGUGUCAGAAGCGGGGUUCAAAGUAGAGCUUUAAUGACCCCCAGAAGUGCUGAGUGAACAAGCAAGGUACCUGCAAGGACCCACUUGUGUCCUUUGAUCUCUCAGAGCAGUGGAUAAUAGGCCAUCAAACCCUUUGAAUCUAACUUACUGUUGAAUUGUUGGUUGAUACAAGAAACAAGAAAAUAGAAGCUGAAACUUACAUUUAUAUUGUUCAGGUUUAGAUUGUAAUCCAUCCAAAACUGACUUCGUUUAUGAAAUGACAGAGGAAUCAAGAUUUUGCUUUUGUCACAUGUAUAUCCAAUUGACAUUGCACCAUUUAUUAAACAGACCAUCUGUCCCCUCCCUGUGUUAUGGUGCCAGCUUUAUUCUAAAUAAGAGAGAGUGUAAAUACAGAUUUACUUCUAUUUCAUUGAUUUAUUAGUAUAGUCAGUGCUGUGUCACGCUUUCCUCGUCAUUGUAGUUUUAUAAGUUUAAAAAAUGCCCGCCCGUGCAUGUCCUCCCCCUUUCUUUAUCUUCUUGAUGAUUUCAUUUCUGCUUUUCAUUUCCAUAUAAAUUUUAGAAUCAUCCUGUUAACUUCAAAAAGAAAGCUUUCUAAUAUUUUUAUAGAGAUUUUGCUGAACCUAAGAACCAAUUUAAACAGUACUGACAUCUUUUCAAAACUGAGUUGCUCUUCUCGAGGAGUAUCUUUGUGGCAUUCUCUGUAUUUCCUGAAUUUGAAAGU